rnacentral:lncRNA from 1 species
UUUUUUUUCUUUUUCUUUGAUUUUUAGUCUUUUCUGUAAGAAAAAAAUAUUUUUUUAUUUUUACUUUUUAUUAUUCUUAUUUUUUUUCUCUCCAUUUUUUUUUUGUCACGACCUCUUCCUUACGCUCUAUUGCAGCCACCGUCCUUACUGGAGUGUAACUAUUUUUCUCUCCCUUCUUCGCCUGCGUGCUUCUCGGCCCCGAGAAGCACUUUCUUUUCGUCGCCAGCGGCAGCGAUGGACGGAGGAUUUAUUUGACGGGUAGAAAAUGUGUUACAGUGGAGGUGGAGGGUGAAGGCGGAGGAAAAAGACGUGGUACCAUCCUCGCUAUCGUCGCGAAGGGUCGCGA